rnacentral:rRNA from 1 species
GGGGAACUGAAACAUCUAAGUACCUUGAGGAAGAGAAAACAAUAGUGAUUCCGUCAGUAGCGGCGAGCGAACGCGGAGAAGCCCAAACCAGAGAGCUUGCUCUUUGGGGUUGUGGGACAUCUCACAUGGAGUUACAAAGGAACCGGUUAAACGAAGAGGUCUGGAAAGGCCCGCCAAAGAAGGUAAAAGCCCUGUAGUUGAAAGU